GGGGAUAUAGCUCAGUGGUAAGAGUACUUGUCUAACAUACACAAGGCCCUGAGUUCAAUCCCCAGCACCACCA
rnacentral:tRNA from 1 species